GACGAACGCUGGCGGCAUGCCUAAUACAUGCAAGUCGAGCGAACAGAUGAAGUGCUUGCACUUCUGACGUUAGCGGCGAACGGGUGAGUAACACGUAAGGAAUCUACCUAUAAGCGGGGGAUAACAUUCGGAAACGGGUGCUAAUACCGCAUAAUAUCUUCUUCCGCAUGGAAGAAGAUUGAAAGACGGCUCUGCUGUCACUUAUAGAUGACCUUGCGGUGCAUUAGUUAGUUGGUGGGGUAACGGCCUACCAAGACGAUGAUGCAUAGCCGACCUGAGAGGAUGAUCGGCCACAUUGGGACUGAGACACGGCCCAAACUCCUACGGGAGGCAGCAGUAGGGAAUCUUCCGCAAUGGGCGAAAGCCUGACGGAGCAAUGCCGCGUGAGUGAAGAAGGCCUUCGGGUCGUAAAACUCUGUUAUAAGAGAAGAACAAAUUGUAGAGUAACUGCUACAGUCUUGACGGUAUCUUAUCAGAAAGCCACGGCUAACUACGUG
rnacentral:rRNA from 1 species